GCCCGGUUAGCUCAGCCGGUAGAGCGUUGGAAUUUUAAUCCAACGGUCAAGGGUUUGAAGUCCCUUAUCGGGCU
rfam:Ciona savignyi cont_37024, whole genome shotgun sequence.